GACGAACGCUGGCGGCGUGCUUAACACAUGCAAGUCGAACGGAAAGGCCCUGCUUUUGUGGGGUGCUCGAGUGGCGAACGGGUGAGUAACACGUGAGUAACCUGCCCUUGACUUUGGGAUAACUUCGGGAAACUGGGGCUAAUACCGGAUAGGAGCUCCUGCUGCAUGGUGGGGGUUGGAAAGUUUCGGCGGUUGGGGAUGGACUCGCGGCUUAUCAGCUUGUUGGUGGGGUAGUGGCUUACCAAGGCUUUGACGGGUAGCCGGCCUGAGAGGGUGACCGGCCACAUUGGGACUGAGAUACGGCCCAGACUCCUACGGGAGGCAGCAGUGGGGAAUAUUGCACAAUGGGCGGAAGCCUGAUGCAGCAACGCCGCGUGCGGGAUGACGGCCUUCGGGUUGUAAACCGCUUUCGCCUGUGACGAAGCGUGAGUGACGGUAAUGGGUAAAGAAGCACCGGCUAACUACGUGCCAGCAGCCGCGGUGAUACGUAGGGUGCGAGCGUUGUCCGGAUUUAUUGGGCGUAAAGGGCUCGUAGGUGGUUGAUCGCGUCGGAAGUGUAAUCUUGGGGCUUAACCCUGAGCGUGCUUUCGAUACGGGUUGACUUGAGGAAGGUAGGGGAGAAUGGAAUUCCUGGUGGAGCGGUGGAAUGCGCAGAUAUCAGGAGGAACGCCAGUGGCGAAGGCGGUUCUCUGGGCCUUUCCUGACGCUGAGGAGCGAAAGCGUGGGGAGCGAACAGGCUUAGAUACCCUGGUAGUCCACGCUGUAAACGGUGGGUACUAGGUGUGGGGUCCAUUCCACGGGUUCCGUGCCGUAGCUAACGCUUUAAGUACCCCGCCUGGGGAGUACGGCCGCAAGGCUAAAACUCAAAGGAAUUGACGGGGCCCCGCACAAGCGGCGGAGCAUGCGGAUUAAUUCGAUGCAACGCGUAGAACCUUACCUGGGUUUGACAUGGAUCGGGAGUGCUCAGAGAUGGGUGUGCCUCUUUUGGGGUCGGUUCACAGGUGGUGCAUGGCUGUCGUCAGCUCGUGUCGUGAGAUGUUGGGUUAAGUCCCGCAACGAGCGCAACCCUUGUUCACUGUUGCCAGCACGUUAUGGUGGGGACUCAGUGGAGACCGCCGGGGUCAACUCGGAGGAAGGUGGGGAUGACGUCAAGUCAUCAUGCCCCUUAUGUCCAGGGCUUCACGCAUGCUACAAUGGCUGGUACAGAGAGUGGCGAGCCUGUGAGGGUGAGCGAAUCUCGGAAAGCCGGUCUCAGUUCGGAUUGGGGUCUGCAACUCGACCUCAUGAAGUCGGAGUCGCUAGUAAUCGCAGAUCAGCAACGCUGCGGUGAAUACGUUCCCGGGGCU
rnacentral:rRNA from 1 species